UGCUACUUCUUAACUGUAGCUUUGAUACUGUUAUGAGUUGUAAUGUAAAUAUCUGAUAUACAGAUGGUCUUAGGCAAUCUCCUUGGAAGGCUCAUUUGAUUCCCCCAAAGGAGUCGUGACCCACAGGUUGAGAACUGCUGUAAUUCCUUAUUAUCUGUGCUCAUUAAAUCAGCUGGCUGCCUGCCACCCACUCUCACUGACAGUAGCCCCACCUGGCGAAGCCUGACUACCAGGCCUGUGGUACCAGUGCACACCACUGAUGUGUAGUCAUAGGAGAUCCAGGUCAGGACCCAGUCCUGCUGCCACCUCAGGAUGACAGCAGAGAUCCGGGGCUAAGCCCCCACUGAAACAGGCUUCCUGGGUAUCCAGUAGGGUUGUCCCUGAGGGAAUCAGACAUUCAGGUAAGUCAUUCAUCUCUGACCCCUUCACUAGGAACGCUUUAGGUUGGCAGACUCUGGGCUGGAGAAAUGGCUCUGUGGGCGAGGUGCCAGCCACACAGGCAUGGCACAUUGAGUUUGGAUCCUCAGCACCCACAUAAAAGCCAGUCUAGCUGGCCAGUGUGCCCUGGGUCCUGUGAGAGACCCUAUCUCAGAAAACAGUUGAGAGUUAUAGAGGACACUGUGUCAAGCUGGGCCUGCUCGUGCACAACACUACACACAGAAAAAGAAGCACACACUUCCAAGUAUAAGAGUAUGGUGCUGAGGCCUCACCCCAGGUAUAACGUUCAUCUCCCAUUUCCAGCUGCCUCACCACAGACUCCCUCCCUGCUCAGAGAUGCUGGGGGGC
rnacentral:lncRNA from 1 species